GGACCAAGGAGUCUAGCAUGUGCGCGAGUCAUUGGGAUAACUGACUAAACCUAAAGGCGCAGUGAAAGCGAAGGUGUCGCUUGCCGACACCGUGGGAGGACGGGCGGCGGCACGCACGCCGCCCCGCACUCCCGGGGCGUCUCGCACUCAUCGCGAGGCGAGGCGCACCGCGAGCGUACACGCUGGGACCCGAAAGAUGGUGAACUAUGCCUGGUCAGGACGAAGUCAGGGGAAACCCUGAUGGAGGUCCGUAGCGAUUCUGACGUGCAAAUCGAUCGUCGGAACUGGGUAUAGGGGCGAAAGACUAAUCGAACCAUCUAGUAGCUGGUUCCCUCCGAAGUUUCCCUCAGGAUAGCUGGCGCUCGGGCGAACUCACAGUUGCGCACGAGUCUCAUCCGGUAAAGCGAAUGAUUAGAGGCAUUGGGGUCGAAACGGCCUCAACCUAUUCUCAAACUUUAAAUGGGUGAGAUCUCCGGCUUGCUUGAAGCUUGAAGCCGGAGAUCGGAUCAACGGGCGCCAAGUGGGCCACUUUUGGUAAGCAGAACUGGCGCUGUGGGAUGAACCAAACGUUGAGUUAAAGCGCCAAAAUCGACGCUUAUGGGACACCAUGAAAGGCGUUGGUAACUUAAGACAGCAGGACGGUGGCCAUGGAAGUCGGA
rnacentral:rRNA from 1 species